GACGAACGCUGGCGGCGUGCUUAACACAUGCAAGUCGAACGGUAAGGCCGCCUUCGGGUGGUACACGAGUGGCGAACGGGUGAGUAACACGUGGGUAACCUACCUUUAGCUGGGGGACAACCGAGGGAAACCUCGGCUAAUACCGCAUGAUGUGCAAUCUCACGAGAGGUUGUACCAAAGAUAGCUUCGGCUUUCGGCUAAAAGAUGGGCCCGCGACGGAUUAGCUUGUUGGUGGGGUAACGGCCUACCAAGGCUACGAUCCGUAGCUGGUCUGAGAGGACGAUCAGCCACACUGGAACUGAGACACGGUCCAGACUCCUACGGGUGGCAG
rnacentral:rRNA from 1 species